rnacentral:misc_RNA from 1 species
CGGUCUAGACAGGCUAGACUUAGAUUUAGUAUCUUAAUACGGUAUAUGUAUUUUAUACAUCACCUAAUUACAAUUUUAACAACCAAUUAAUAGAUAGAUCUAUAGAUAUAUAGUAAUCCGGUCUUAAUAGAAGAUCGUUACGGCUUACAUUCAUACAUGCCAUUGUAUGUGUAUUUGUUUGAUAGAACUACACAUAUUUAUAAGAACUGAUCGUUACAAAAUAUAUCGGCAAACAAGGUUAAAAUUUGUCUUCGGAAAAAUCGUCCCGACGUGGUCAGAAAGAGUUACCCCCCUUGGCCGGCAUAGCGAUCGGUUUUCGAUCAAACAUUUAUCGAUACUGAGAUGGAGAACGUCAACGUGCCUGCUGACCCUGCACAUAUGACGCAUGGUAUCCAAGUGGGCUGUGUCCUGCCACAUUCAGGAAAUUUGAGGUGCAACCCUUGUAGGAAAUCAGGUUUCACUGUCCAGUUACACGAAGCCUGGUGUAAAUAGCUUGUUUGGUCCAGUUGCACCCAACAAAGGGCAACUACCAUGCUGUAAUGAAACUUGAUGGUAUCAGUUUACACCAACGCUAAACUACAUAUACAGCUCCCAAUACAGUGUGCUUUGAGAAGGGAGAGCAACUAUGCCCUGUACGUUUCUGGAAAGAAGAAGUGUUGAGAAGAAGAGUUCUGUGUUGAAGUCAGCAUUGACAUCCUGAGUAGUGAAAAGAUCAGCAGGGAGUAGCAUCAGUUCGCUACUGUGUGGAGGGACAGUGUUUCUCCCUAUACUCAUGGACAGUACUGUACAUCUAAACAUAUGAUUCAUAUUAUAUAUUGUUUCAUAAUGUGAGGUGUGUUUUUUUCAUUCAAAAUAUCAAUUAUCAUAUAUGGUGAAUUUAGCAUCUUACAAAUAUACUGUGCAUGGAAUUUCUUCACUUACACUGUUUUCAGCAUGUUGAGGCAAAACUCUUUUCAUGUGUUACAUUUAUGUUUAUUGUUUCCUCAACAAUAAAGAACUAGCAAAAUGA